UACGGAGGGGGCUAGCGUUGUUCGGAAUUACUGGGCGUAAAGCGUACGUAGGCGGCUUUGUAGGUUAGAGGUGAAAGCCCGGAGCUCAACUCCGGAAUUGCCUUUAAGACUGCAUCGCUUGAAUCAUGGAGAGGUUAGUGGAAUUCCGAGUGUAGAGGUGAAAUUCGUAGAUAUUGGGAAGAACACCGGUGGCGAAGGCGGCGCUCUGGACCGAGACUGACGCUGAGGCGCGAAAGCGUGGGGAGCAAACAGG
rnacentral:rRNA from 1 species